UGCAGUGAGGAAAGUCUCCUGGAAUCAAACCUGACAGCUAUUCUUUUCUACUUGUUGGAAAGGAAAAUUGAAGAUCUUCUUGGAAUAUUUU